rnacentral:rRNA from 1 species
UACGUAGGGUGCAAGCGUUAAUCGGAAUUACUGGGCGUAAAGCGUGCGCAGGCGGUUAUAUAAGUCAGAUGUGAAAUCCCCGGGCUCAACCUGGGCACUGCGUUUGAGACUGUAUGGCUAGAGUGUGUCAGAGGGGGGUAGAAUUCCACGUGUAGCAGUGAAAUGCGUAGAUAUGUGGAGGAAUACCGAUGGCGAAGGCAGCCCCCUGGGAUAACACUGACGCUCAGGCACGAAAGCGUGGGGAGCAAACAGG